rnacentral:rRNA from 1 species
AGGGUUUGAUCCUGGCUCAGAACGAACGUUGGCGGCGUGGAUUAGGCAUGCAAGUCGGGGGAAUCCCAGCAAUGGGGGAACCGGCGUAAGGGGCAGUAAGGCGUGGGUACCUACCCUGGGGUUCGGGAUAGCCGUCUGAGAAGGCGGGUAAUACCGGAUGAUCUCGGGAGAGCAAAGAUUUAUCGCCCUGGGAGGGGCCCACGUGAUAUUAGCUAGUUGGUGAGGUAAUGGCUCACCAAGGCCGAGAUGUCUAGCGGGUGUGAGAGCACGACCCGCGCCACUGGCACUGAGACACUGGCCAGACACCUACGGGUGGCUGCAGUCGAGGAUCUUCGGCAAUGGGCGCAAGCCUGACCGAGCGACGCCGCGUGUGCGACGAAGGCCUUCGGGUUGUAAACUCCUGUCGAGGGGAAAGAAGGCCCCGCAAGGGGCUUGACUGAUCCCUGGAGGAAGCACGGGCUAAGUUCGUGCCAGCAGCCGCGGUAAGACGAACCGUGCGAACGUUGUUCGGAAUCACUGGGCUUAAAGGGUGCGUAGGCGGAAUGUCAAGUCUGUGGUGAAAUCCCCCGGCUCAACCGGGGAACUGCCGUGGAUACUGGUGUUCUCGAGGGGUGUAGGGGCAUGCGGAACUUCGGGUGGAGCGGUGAAAUGCGUAGAUAUCGGAAGGAACACCGGUGGCGAAAGCGGCGCGCUGGACCUCUUCUGACGCUGAGGCGCGAAAGCCAGGGGAGCGAACGGGAUUAGAUACCCCGGUAGUCCUGGCCCUAAACGAUGGGUACUAGGUAGUAGACCAGACAUGGGUUUACUGCCGGAGCUAAAGUGCUAAGUACCCCGCCUGGGGAGUAUGGUCGCAAGGCUGAAAC